rnacentral:lncRNA from 13 species
GUCUGGGGUUUUCUUCCCGGGCAGGUUGUGUGCUCAGGGCCCCAGGGGAAUCUGGGAUAAGACGCUGGGGGCGCUGCCGUGGGAAAGGCCAAGGGACACCGUCUGGACGGGUUCCCCGAGACCACGUGCUCUAAGCCCCGAAUCUGAUCCCAGGCAGGGUGCCCUGCCUCUCCCAGCUCCGUCUCUGCUCCCCAGCGGACCCGCUGUCUCCAGCAGACCUGGAGAAUCAGGUGGGGAAGGCAGUCUUCAGAGCAUUCACUCUGCCAUUCUCUGUGUCCGUCAUAGCAAUUUCUUCUCCAUGUUCAUGGAACACCUGUGGGCAGCACAGUUCCAGGCACUGGUGAGUCAGUGAUGUAUAAAGGGGACAGCCUGCUUAUUAUAUUUUAUAAUAAUAUUCUAAAAUUAUAAAAACGUAUGGAUGCAGUUUGGCUCUGUGUCCCCACCCAGAUCUCACCUUGAAUUGUAAUAAUCCCCACAGGUAGUGGGAGGGAUCUGAUGGAAGGUAAUUGAAUCAUAGGGGCAGGUUUUUCCUGUGCUGUUCUCAUGAUAGUGCAUAAGUCUCACAAGAUCUGAUGGUUUUAUAAAGGGGUGUUCUCCUGCACAUGCUUUCUUGCCUGUCGCCAUGUAAGACAUCCCCUUGCUCUUCCUUUGCCUUCCGCCAUGAUUGUGGGGCCUCCCCAGCCAUGUGGAACUGUGAGUCCAUUAAACUUCUUUCCUUUGUAUAUUACUCAGUCUUGGGUAUGUCUUUAUCAGCAGCAUGAGAACUGACUAAUACAUAUAUUGAGUAGUAUAUCUUAUAAUAAAAUACAAUAUUGUCUAUCA